CCUACGGGGUGCAGCAGUGGGGAAUAUUGGGCAAUGGGCGCAAGCCUGACCCAGCAACGCCGCGUGAAGGAAGAAGGCUUUCGGGUUGUAAACUUCUUUUGUCAGGGACGAAGCAAGUGACGGUACCUGACGAAUAAGCCACGGCUAACUACGUGCCAGCAGCCGCGGUAAUACGUAGGUGGCAAGCGUUAUCCGGAUUUACUGGGUGUAAAGGGCGUGUAGGCGGGACUGCAAGUCAGAUGUGAAAACCACGGGCUCAACCUGUGGCCUGCAUUUGAAACUGUAGUUCUUGAGUACUGGAGAGGCAGACGGAAUGCCUGGUGUAGCGGUGAAAUGCGUAGAUAUUAGGAGGAACACCAGUGGCGAAGGCGGUCUGCUGGACAGCAACUGACGCUGAGGCACGAAAGCGUGGGUAUCGAACAGGAUUAGAUACCCUAGUAGUC
rnacentral:rRNA from 1 species